CCUACGGGAGGCAGCAGUGAGGAAUAUUGGUCCAUGGGCGAGAGCCUGAACCAGCCAAGUCGCGUGAAGGAUGAAGGAUCUAUGGUUUGUAAACUUCUUUUAUAUGGGAAUAAAGUGAGGAACGUGUUCCUUUUUGUAUGUACCAUAUGAAUAAGCAUCGGCUAACUCCGUGCCAGCAGCCGCGGUAAUACGGAGGAUGCGAGCGUUAUCCGGAUUUAUUUGGUUUAAAGGGUGCGUAGGUGGUUAAUUCAGUCAGCGGUACAAGCCCGGGGCUCAACCCCGGCGAGCCGUUGAAACUGGCUGUCUUGAGAGGUGGAGAGGUAUGCGGAAUGCGGAGUGUAGCGGUGAAAUGCUUAGAUAUUGCGCAGAACUCAGAUUGCGAAGGCAGCAUACCGGCGGCGAUCUGACGCUGAGGCACGAAAGCGUGGGUAUCGAACAGGAUUAGAUACCCGAGUAGUC
rnacentral:rRNA from 1 species